UUUAAAAUUAAUUAAAAGCGACGGGCAAUAUGUAUAUAUUAUUUUAAAAUAUUAAAUUAUUAAAUUUAUAAUAAUUUAAUUUUAAAUCCAUUUUUAUUUAAAUAUUAAAAUUUAAAAUCCAAUUAAAUUUAUUUAAUGUAUUUCAUUUUAAACCUUAAAUUUUUAAUAUAUUAUGAUUUGAAUUAAAUUAUAAUAAAAUAAUUAUUAAUAAAUUUUAUUAUAAAAUUAAUUAAACAACAAUAUAUAAUUUUAUUAAAUUAAGUAUAUUUUAAUGUGUAUUAUCAAUUAAUAAACAAAAUCCUCUAAUUUUAAAUAAUACUACCAAAUUAUUUAAUUUUUUUUUAAUUUAAUAAUAAUUAUUAAAAAUUUAAUAAAUUUAUAUAAUA
rnacentral:rRNA from 1 species